rnacentral:rRNA from 1 species
AUUGAACGCUGGCGGCAGGCCUAAUACAUGCAAGUCGAGCGGACCAAAGAGAGCUUGCUCUCUGAGGUUAGCGGCGGACGGGUGAGUAACACGUGGGUAACCUGCCUGUAAGACGGGGAUAACUUCGGGAAACCGAAGCUAAUACCGGAUGAUAAAGAGAAACGCCUGUUUCUUUUUUGAAAGUCGGCUUUGUGCUGACGCGUACAGUUGGGCCAGCGGCCCAUUAGCUAGUUGGGGGGGUAAGGGCGCACCAAGGCGGCGAUGCGUAGCCGACCUGAGAGGGUGAUCGGCCACACUGGGACUGAGACACGGCCCAGACUCCUACGGGAGGCAGCAGUAGGGAAUCUUCGGCAAUGGACGAAAGUCUGACCGAGCAACGCCGCGUGAGCGAUGAAGGCCUUCGGGUCGUAAAGCUCUGUUGUCAGAGAAGAACAAGUACCGGAGUAACUGCCGGUACCUUGACGGUACCUGACCAGAAAGCCACGGCUAACUACGUGCCAGCAGCCGCCGUAACAC